CCCCAAGCCAUUUAUUUCAUCCAAUAAGACUAUCCAUCACGGUACGCUGGAACCGACCUACGAGCCGAGGAUAUUCUUAGAUACGCAGCAUGUCAGGAAACGGCUAGCAGCCCCGCAUGAUGCAAAUAUUUGGAUGACCGAGAGAUAGGUUUAAGACUGUUUGUCCUCCUUGUGCUGAAGCAAUGAAAGAAACUAUCAGUGGCUGUGGACCAGAUUAUUAAUAUUACCUCUUUUGGCUUGUUUAAAAAAUAAGGAGAGAACUUCGUGUUCUUCUCAGGAGCAGAGAUUGCGUAACAAAAUAYAUGGGAAAAAAAAGUUUCUGGCCAGCAGCACAGGCUCUCACAGCCCCCCGUUCACCGGGAGACAUCAUGCACAGAGGCUUUAACUGUGCAAGAGCUGUGCGUGCAGGCAGAAGAAAGACAUGCCCUACCACGCUGCAGGACUGAGCAGGACAGGCUGGAGACAGGACAACCCUCACUUCAUCAGAUGGAGACCUGGCUGCCCACCUCCACCAUCAGCCUGUCCCCCCAUUGGUGUGGGGCUCUGCCCCCUAACCCCGCCCCUCAUGCACAGUGAUACAAGGAACCAGCAGCACCAAGGAUGGAUCUGCUCCUGGGACGAUGSCACCCAACCCCGCCGGCCUCUCUGGAGGAACGAGGAGACACUACCUGCCACCUCACCAACCUGCUCCGUCCCRGGAACGGUCGCAGAAUGUGUUUCCCACUGGGCUAAUUAUUGCUAAUUGUGCCACUUUGCUAUCUCGCCAGCCUCACCCUGCAUAGGGCUGAUAGGGAUAUCUGUGAGAUAAGGAGCAUGCAGAUAGCCCAGGUAACUGGUCAAUGCUGUCGAACUGGUGGGGUGAACUGCUCUCUGGAGGGGUUUUAUCUCUUGCCGCUGACUGUGAAGAGCUCCUGAGGCACCAACCUCCUAAGGACGAUACUGCUGUACCAAGGCUAGGCAGAGUGGAGCUGGGCAUGCUCCUUGGAGCCCUUUAGAAGACUAUAAGGGAUUCUGGUGACUUGGUAUUUGCAAGCAAUAAAGAAAUAYGCUGGCAUUCA
rnacentral:lncRNA from 1 species